UGCGAAUGGCGUGGUCGGAGGCGCGGUGAUACGGAGAGCCCGAUAGGGUUGUGGAUGUAUGAUGGGGAAAGCGAGCUCAGGGGGGUGGAUAAGUCUGAAGGUAAAGGCUGUGGCGCAACCAUAGUUCGCGUUGGAAACGUGCAAACUGGAGUGCAGAAGGGGAGAGUGGAAGUCCAUGUGUAGCGGUGAAAUGCGUAGAUAUAUGGAGGAACACCGGUGGCGAAAGCGGCUCUCUGGUCUGUAACUGACGCUGAGGCUCGAAAGCGUGGGGAGCGAACAGGAUUAGAUACCCCAGUAGUC
rnacentral:rRNA from 1 species